rnacentral:snRNA from 1 species
ACACGUCUUUGGCAGGGUAGCUGUCAUUAUCGACGAGGUGGUUCACUCCAGGAGAGGGUUAGCCGUUGCAUUCUCCUUGUGUAUCCCCCUAAUGUAGGAAUCCCAACUGCACCAUUUCUGCUGGUGGGAGACUGCGUUCUCACUCUCCCC